CUGGUGGUUCCCGGGGCAUGCUGGGAGCUGUAGUCCUGGGGCACGGGGCUGCCGGGCGGCCAUGUUGGUCUCUGCAGCCUCUGCUCCAGCUGCGGCCCGGCUGAGCACAAGGAUACAUGUAUGAAGGCAAAUCGAGGGUACAAGUGGUGCCCUACAGCAAACCAGCCUGCGAAAACCCAGACAUCCACUGUUACAAACAGGAAGAAGCUGUGGGCCUUUGCCUCGGACUCUGCAAAGGAUUUACCAAGCCCGAGGAAAGGGACAAGAAGUGACAUAAUGCCACAGCGUAACUUCAGGAUGGCAGCGGGCCAAAACUGAGGAGGGGGAAGAAGAACUACAGGUAGCUAAAGGGAAGCGCAGGAGAGCAGCUGGGAGCCAACAGCGUGAUGUGGGCAUAAGAAAGUGCUACACUGCAGGGUGUCAGGCCAAGUAUUUUCAGGAAGUGUGGCAAAGAGUUAAUGCCAUUGAACAGAGCACAGCUCAUCUGACGUGGCUGCCCUGCUGGUCCUUCAUGUACAAGAAAGAUGACCUCCUUCUGGAAUAACGGGAGAAGAGAGCUGCAGGGAUUGCUGGGACAUGGGCGGUGGACAUGCGUGAUGACAUCAGGAGUUCUUGAUAUGCUUAGGCUAGGAAAAAACAAGUGGAAGAAGAGUGGGGUGACUCCUGUAAAUGCAGGAGAGGGAAAUACCAUUUAGGCAGAACAGUUUUUAGGCUUAAAGGUGUGGGCACCAGAAGGCAUGUGUACCACCUGGUCCUGAGUAAAUUUAAGCUGAAAACUGGAAGAAAACUCUAAAUGCUUAGAAGAUUUGGGUUCUGCAACAGCCUUCCGAUGGAAGGAAAGAAAGCAGAAAGCAACCAGUCAACCCCUUAUUGCUUAAUAUGGGGUUCAGUAAGUUUAUGGUGGGCCUGGAGAUCUCUUCCAAUCUCUCCUUCCUCCAAAUCAACUGCCUCUUCAGGCAUUGUCUUUCAAGGUAUGUGUUGCCUUUUCACAUUUUCAUUGCUCUGAUGUCCUCUUGUUUGAAGGACUGAACUGUUGCUGAUCAAGCAUUUUGGUGGCAAAAAGGGCUCUGCUGACAGGAUUGCUUCUCUUGUGAAUUGUGCUUAGGUGCUUGCUGACCCUUCCCAUUUCCUGUCUCCCUUU